rnacentral:rRNA from 1 species
GACAGAGGAGGCGAGCGUUAUCCGGAGUUAUUGGGCGUAAAGGGCACGUAGGCGGCUGGUCAAGUCUGGGGUUAAAGACCACAGCUUAACUGUGGGGGGGCCUUGGAAACUGACCGGCUGGAGUUGGGCAGGGGUUGCGGGAAUUCCCGGUGUAGCGGUGAAAUGCGUAGAUAUCGGGAAGAACACCUGAGGCGAAAGCGCGCAACUGGGCCCUAACUGACGCUGAGGUACGAAAGCUAGGGGAGUGAAUGGG